rnacentral:rRNA from 1 species
UUUAGUGGCGAACGGGUGAGUAACACGUGGGCAACCUGCCCAAAAGAGGGGGAUAACACUUGGAAACAGGUGCUAAUACCGCAUAACCAUAGUUACCGCAUGGUAACUAUGUAAAAGGUGGCUAUACUACCGCUUUUGGAUGGGCCCGCGGCGCAUUAGCUAGUUGGUAGGGUAAAGGCUUACCAAGGCAAUGAUGCGUAGCCGAAUUGAGAGGGUGAUCGGCCACAUUGGGACUGAGACACGGCCCAAACUCCUACGGAAGGCAGCAG